UACAGAGGGUGCAAGCGUUAAUCGGAAUUACUGGGCGUAAAGCGUGCGUAGACGGUUAUUUAAGUCAGGUGUGAAAGCCCCGGGCUCAACCUGGGAAUUGCAUUUGAGACUGAAUAGCUAGGGUGCGGAAGAGGGAAGCGGAAUUCCGGUGUAGCGGUGAAUGCGUAGAUAUCGGAAGGAACACCAGUGGCGAAAGCGGCUUCCUGGUCCAGCACCGACGUUCAGGCACGAAAGCGUGGGGAGCAAACAGG
rnacentral:rRNA from 1 species